rnacentral:rRNA from 1 species
UACGUAGGGUGCGAGCGUUAAUCGGAAUUACUGGGCGUAAAGCGUGCGCAGGCGGUUUUGUAAGCCAGAUGUGAAAGCCCCGGGCUUAACCUGGGAAUGGCACUUGGGACUGCAAGGCUUGAGUGCGGCAGAGGAGACUGGAAUUCCUGGUGUAGCAGUGAAAUGCGCAGAUAUCAGGAAGAACACCCGUGGCGAAAGCGGCUCUCUGGAACGGUACUGACGCUGAGACGCGAAAGCGUGGGGAGCGAACAGG